GGUUAAGCGACUAAGCGUACACGGUGGAUGCCCUGGCAGUCAGAGGCGAUGAAGGACGUGCUAAUCUGCGAAAAGCGCCGGCGAGGUGAUAUGAACCCUUGACCCGGCGAUGUCCGAAUGGGGAAACCCAGUGUGUUCCGACACACUAUCGUUAACUGAAUACAUAGGUUAACGAGGCGAACCGGGGGAACUGAAACAUCUAAGUACCCCGAGGAAAAGAAAUCAACCGAGAUUCCCCCAGUAGCGGCGAGCGAACGGGGAGCAGCCCGGAGUCUGAAUCAGCUUGUGUGUUAGUGGAACGGUCUGGAAAGUCCGACGGUACAGGGUGAUAGUCCCGUACACGAAAGCACACUUGCUGUGAACUCGAAGAGUAGGGCGGGACACGUGGUAUCCUGUCUGAAUAUGGGGGGACCAUCCUCCAAGGCUAAAUACUCCUGACUGACCGAUAGUGAACCAGUACCGUGAGGGAAAGGCGAAAAGAACCCCGGCGAGGGGAGUGAAAAAGAACCUGAAACCGUGUACGUACAAGCAGUGGGAGCACCUUCGGGUGUGACUGCGUACCUUUUGUAUAAUGGGUCAGCGACUUAUAUUCUGUAGCAAGGUUAACCGUAUAGGGGAGCCGAAGGGAAACCGAGUCUUAACUGGGCGUUAAGUUGCAGGGUAUAGACCCGAAACCCGGUGAUCUAGCCAUGGGCAGGUUGAAGGUUGGGUAACACUAACUGGAGGACCGAACCGACUAAUGUUGAAAAAUUAGCGGAUGACCUGUGGCUGGGGGUGAAAGGCCAAUCAAACCGGGAGAUAGCUGGUUCUCCCCGAAAGCUAUUUAGGUAGCGCCUCGUGAACUCAUCUUCGGGGGUAGAGCACUGUUUCGGCUAGGGGGCCAUCCCGGCUUACCAACCCGAUGCAAACUACGAAUACCGAAGAAUGUUAUCACGGGAGACACACGGCGGGUGCUAACGUCCGUCGUGAAGAGGGAAACAACCCAGACCGCCAGCUAAGGUCCCAAAGUCAUGGUUAAGUGGGAAACGAUGUGGGAAGGCACAGACAGCCAGGAUGUUGGCUUAGAAGCAGCCAUCAUUUAAAGAAAGCGUAAUAGCUCACUGGUCGAGUCGGCCUGCGCGGAAGAUGUAACGGGGCUAAACCAUGCACCGAAGCUGCGGCAGCGACACUAUGUGUUGUUGGGUAGGGGAGCGUUCUGUAAGCCGUUGAAGGUGUGCUGUGAGGCAUGCUGGAGGUAUCAGAAGUGCGAAUGCUGACAUAAGUAACGAUAAAGCGGGUGAAAAGCCCGCUCGCCGGAAGACCAAGGGUUCCUGUCCAACGUUAAUCGGGGCAGGGUGAGUCGACCCCUAAGGCGAGGCCGAAAGGCGUAGUCGAUGGGAAACAGGUUAAUAUUCCUGUACUUGGUGUUACUGCGAAGGGGGGACGGAGAAGGCUAUGUCAGCCGGGCGACGGUUGUCCCGGUUUAAGCAUGUAGGCGGAGGUUCCAGGUAAAUCCGGUACCUUGUUAACGCUGAGGUGUGAUGACGAGGCACUACGGUGCUGAAGUGAUAAAUGCCCUGCUUCCAGGAAAAGCCUCUAAGCAUCAGGUAACACGAAAUCGUACCCCAAACCGACACAGGUGGUCAGGUAGAGAAUACCAAGGCGCUUGAGAGAACUCGGGUGAAGGAACUAGGCAAAAUGGUGCCGUAACUUCGGGAGAAGGCACGCUGAUAUGUAGGUGAAGCCCCUGCGGGCGGAGCUGAAAUCAGUCGAAGAUACCAGCUGGCUGCAACUGUUUAUUAAAAACACAGCACUGUGCAAACACGAAAGUGGACGUAUACGGUGUGACGCCUGCCCGGUGCCGGAAGGUUAAUUGAUGGGGUUAGCGGCAACGCGAAGCUCUUGAUCGAAGCCCCGGUAAACGGCGGCCGUAACUAUAACGGUCCUAAGGUAGCGAAAUUCCUUGUCGGGUAAGUUCCGACCUGCACGAAUGGCGUAAUGAUGGCCAGGCUGUCUCCACCCGAGACUCAGUGAAAUUGAACUCGCUGUGAAGAUGCAGUGUACCCGCGGCAAGACGGAAAGACCCCGUGAACCUUUACUAUAGCUUGACACUGAACACUGGUCCUUGAUGUGUAGGAUAGGUGGGAGGCUUUGAAGCGUGGACGCCAGUCUGCGUGGAGCCAUCCUUGAAAUACCACCCUUUAAUGGCUGGUGUUCUAACGUAGACCCGUGAUCCGGGUUGCGGACAGUGUCUGGUGGGUAGUUUGACUGGGGCGGUCUCCUCCCAAAGAGUAACGGAGGAGCACGAAGGUUGGCUAAUCCUGGUCGGACAUCAGGAGGUUAGUGCAAUGGCAUAAGCCAGCUUGACUGCGAGCGUGACGGCGCGAGCAGGUGCGAAAGCAGGUCAUAGUGAUCCGGUGGUUCUGAAUGGAAGGGCCAUCGCUCAACGGAUAAAAGGUACUCCGGGGAUAACAGGCUGAUACCGCCCAAGAGUUCAUAUCGACGGCGGUGUUUGGCACCUCGAUGUCGGCUCAUCACAUCCUGGGGCUGAAGUAGGUCCCAAGGGUAUGGCUGUUCGCCAUUUAAAGUGGUACGCGAGCUGGGUUUAGAACGUCGUGAGACAGUUCGGUCCCUAUCUGCCGUGGGCGCUGGAGAAUUGAGGGGGGCUGCUCCUAGUACGAGAGGACCGGAGUGGACGCAUCACUGGUGUUCGGGUUGUCAUGCCAAUGGCACUGCCCGGUAGCUAAAUGCGGAAGAGAUAAGUGCUGAAAGCAUCUAAGCACGAAACUUGCCCCGAGAUGAGUUCUCCCUGAGACCUUGAGUCUCCUGAAGGAACGUUGAAGACGACGACGUUGAUAGGUCGGGUGUGUAAGCGCAGCGAUGCGUUGAGCUAACCGAUACUAAUGAACCGUGAGGCUUAACCUU
rnacentral:rRNA from 1 species